UGGGGAAUAUUGCACAAUGGGCGCAAGCCUGAUGCAGCGACGCCGCGUGAGGGAUGACGGCCUUCGGGUUGUAAACCUCUUUCAGUACAGACGAAGCGUAAGUGACGGUAUGUACAGAAGAAGCACCGGCCAACUACGUGCCAGCAGCCGCGGUAAUACGUAGGGUGCGAGCGUUGUCCGGAAUUACUGGGCGUAAAGAGCUCGUAGGUGGUUUGUCGCGUUGUUCGUGAAAACCGGGGGCUUAACCCUCGGCGUGCGGGCGAUACGGGCAGACUUGAGUACUGCAGGGGAGACUGGAAUUCCUGGUGUAGCGGUGGAAUGCGCAGAUAUCAGGAGGAACACCGGUGGCGAAGGCGGGUCUCUGGGCAGUAACUGACGCUGAGGAGCGAAAGCGUGGGGAGCGAACA
rnacentral:rRNA from 1 species